rnacentral:misc_RNA from 1 species
GAUGAAGAACGCAGCGAAAUGCGAUAAGUAAUGUGAAUUGCAGAAUUCAGUGAAUCAUCGAAUCUUUGAACGCACAUUGCGCCCCUUGGUAUUCCGAGGGGCAUGCCUGUUCGAGCGUCAUUAUAACCCCUCAAGCUCAGCUUGGUGUUGGGGCCUGCUGCACUGGCAGCCCUUAAAAUCAGUGGCGGCGCCAUCUGGCUCUAAGCGUAGUAAUUCUUCUCACUAUGGAGUCCUGGCGGAUGCUUGCCAUCAACCCCCAAUUUUUCUAUGGUUGACCUCGGAUCAGGUAGGGAUACCCGCUGAACUUAAGCAUAUCAAUAAGCGGAGGA